rnacentral:rRNA from 1 species
GUGCCAGCAGCCGCGGUAAUACGUAGGGACCAAGCGUUGUUCGGAUUUACUGGGCGUAAAGGGCGCGUAGGCGGCGCGGUAAGUCACUUGUGAAAUCUCUGAGCUUAACUCAGAACGGCCAAGUGAUACUGCAGUGCUAGAGUGUGGAAGGGGCAAUCGGAAUUCUUGGUGUAGCGGUGAAAUGCGUAGAUAUCAAGAGGAACACCUGAGGUGAAGACGGGUUGCUGGGCCAACACUGACGCUGAGGCGCGAAAGCCAGGGGAGCAAACGGGAUUAGAUACCCCGGUAGUCC